AAAAAAAAAGAAAAAAGAGAGAGAGAGUUUUAGGAGGAAGCAUAUAGUUAGAUCAUUGUUGAACUUUCUGUUGUGACAGGACGUGAACUUCUGAAGGUAUCCUUCAGCUGUUUGGAUUAGGGAAAUAUUUGAUCCUUUUCCCUACUAAAUAACAGUGCAUUUAUAAAGUGUUCAUUCAAUAUAUGUUCAUACAAUACAUUGUACUAAGAUGUCUUCUAUGGUUACUCUGAUUUUUUUAAUACUUUGUUCUCACUAUGUUCUUCUAUCCACAAGAUAUGAAUUGCUUCUAUCAUCUAAGGGUCAUCGUUGACAAAGUAAGGUAUAUUUUGAUUUUAACAAAGUAAUAAUAGAAAACCCCUCUAACUUGCCAUGUGAAUGCUUAUCUCUUCUUGGAGCUGAUUAAGUUAUCAAUUGUGAAAAUAUACAUUACUCUAGGAAUUAUAAGCUCUUAGAGAGUAAAAAAAAAAAUGAACUCUCAAGUAAUGAACAUUAUUAUGGGAAAUCUUAUCGUAAAUGAGAUGAUAAUGCCUUUGA
rnacentral:misc_RNA from 1 species